AAGUCGUAACAAGGUUCCCGUAGGUGAACCUGCGGAAGGAUCAUUAACACGUAUCCAAACGUUAAAACCCCCCCCGUGAACCUUCAUCCUGCUCUUGUAACCCGCGUAGUUCGCAAUCUCUGAUAAAUCAUAGUCCGGAAAGUUGUAGUGAUUCAGAGACCUCUGGCUACGUGCGAACAUUGGAUCGGAAAGUGUCAUUGAUUGUGCAAGGAUAGCGCUUCUACGAUUCCUGUAGACCGUACACUCGGGCAGGAGCUUUGCCAAAGGGUCCCCAUGCCCCCUAAUAACCCCACAGUUUAAUGUGAAGCUCAAUGUAAUACAUUGGGUAGAAAAACCGAACAACUGUUAACAAUGGAUAUCUUGGUUCUC
rnacentral:misc_RNA from 1 species